rnacentral:rRNA from 1 species
UACGGGGGGGGCAAGCGUUGUUCGGAAUUACUGGGCGUAAAGGGCUCGUAGGCGGCCAACUAAGUCAGACGUGAAAUCCCUCGGCUUAACCGGGGAACUGCAUCUGAUACUGGAUGGCUUGAGUUCGGGAGAGGGAUGCGGAAUUCCAGGUGUAGCGGUGAAAUGCGUAGAUAUCUGGAGGAACACCGGUGGCGAAGGCGGCUUGCUGGGCUUGGUCUGACGCUGAGGCGCGAAAGCGUGGGGAGCGAACAGG